AACGAACGCUGGCGGCAGGCUUAACACAUGCAAGUCGAGCGCCCCGCAAGGGGAGCGGCAGACGGGUGAGUAACGCGUGGGAAUCUACCCAUCACUACGGAACAACCCCGGGAAACUGGAGCUAAUACCGUAUACGUCCUUCGGGAGAAAGAUUUACCGGUGAUGGAUGGGCCCGCGUUGGAUUAGCUAGUGGGUGGGGUAAUGGCCCACCAAGGCGACGAUCCAUAGGUGGGCUGAGAGGAUGAUCAGACACACUGGGACUGAGACACGGCCCAGACUCCUACGGGAGGCAGCAGUGGGGAAUAUUGGACAAUGGGCGCAAGCCUGAUCCAGCCAUGCCGCGUGAGUGAUGAAGGCCCUAGGGUUGUAAAGCUCUUUCACCAGUGAAGAUAAUGACGGUAACCGGAGAAGAAGCCCCGGCUAACUUCGUGCCAGCAGCCGCGGUAA
rnacentral:rRNA from 1 species